rnacentral:tRNA from 1 species
CCUCUCGUAGCUUAUUGGUCAAAGCAUCGAUGCGUAAAGCCAAAAGUCCCGGGUUCAAAUCUCGGCGAGAAUA